AUACGGAGGAUGCGAGCGUUAUCCGGAUUUAUUGGGUUUAAAGGGAGCGUAGGUGGACAGUUAAGUCAGUUGUGAAAGUUUGCGGCUCAACCGUAAAAUUGCAGUUGAUACUGGUUGUCUUGAGUACAGUAGAGGUGGGCGGAAUUCGUGGUGUAGCGGUGAAAUGCUUAGAUAUCCCGAAGAACUCCGAUUGCGAAGGCAGCUCACUGGACUGCAACUGACACUGAUGCUCGAAAGUGUGGGUAUCAAACAGGAUUAGAUACCCUGGUAGUCCACACAGUAAACUAUGAAUACUCGCUGUUUGCGAUAUACAGUAAGCGGCCAAGCGAAAGCAUUAAGUAUUCCACCUGGGGAGUACGCCGGCAACGGUGAAACUCAAAUGAAUUGGCGGGG
rnacentral:rRNA from 1 species